UCCCACACUGAGACACACCAGUGACCACUAGGAGACUGGGAGGAAGCAUCGACUCCUCCUGGGAGCUUUCCUUGGGCUGUACUGCCUCAGAGAGGCAAGCCUCCACAUUGUGAGAACCCCCAUGGAGAGGGCUCACAUGGAAUGAAUGGAAGCCCCUGAACAACAGCCAGUAAGAACCAAGGGCUGCCAACAACCAUGGGAGGGAAUGUGGAAGUCUCCUCUGGUCUCGGUUGAUCCCUAAUUGAUUGUAGUUCUCCUGGAAGCUUUAUUGCAAGCCUGUGAGAAAUCCUGAGCCAGAACCAUCCAGUUCCAGCUCUUGGUUUCAGAGGCCCCUGUGGCUCUGUAUUUUCCACGUCAAACCUGCCAAAAUGAGGAAAAGUCCCCUGUACUGACUACUGCAGAAGAGGUGUUACUGGCAAUGCAACUGAAUCAUUGAUGUCUGGCGAGAUUGUAUUCGGAUUCCCAUCAACCACCUGGAACUAUAGGCCAGAUGGCCCCAGGAAAACUUGUCAACCAGGAAUAUUGUCGUCAAUGUCUAGCACUUAGAGCCACAAACGCAGAGUGGGGCUUAGAGGACACUAAUCUAGUGCCUGGCUUCCGUUCAACCUGACCCCUCGCCACCAACACAUCUUCCGGCUUCUUCUUGAACACUCCAGUGAUGAGAAGCUCAGAGCAAGAUUUGUUGUCUUCCUUAUAAUUAAUCAAAUCUCUCCCUUGAAGUUGACUCUUUGAUUCCUUUCUGGCCUCUUUCUCCACUUUCUGGGGUGCCCAGAGUUAUUUCAACUUCCAAUUGCCCAUGGCCUCUUCUGCACCUCUAGGCAGUUCCCACCAGAGGGCACUCGAAGCCCUGCUCAGACUCCUCUGCAGCUCUGUCUUCUUCCAUUUCUUCAUCCUGCUCUCUGCCUUGUGACAAGGUGUCAACCAAACUAAUAUCUGCCAAGAGAUACUUAACUGUCAUUUCAGAUUACUUAGUGCUUUAAGCCCAAAUAAAAGUAGAUAGAUAUCUAGGAAUAUAAUUGCUGUAUUAUAUGGUAAUCUUACAUUUAACAUUUCAAGAACUGCCAAACUGUUUUGCAAAGUUUGCACCACUUUAUAUUCCCACUAGCAAUGUAUGGGGGUUCUUUCUGAUUUCUUCACAUCCUC